AUUCCAGCUCCAAUAGUGUAUAUUAAAGUUGUUGCAGUUAAAAAGCUCGUAGUUGGAUUUCUGGCGGGAGCGAUCGGUCCUUCACUCAGUGUUGGAACCUGAUUGUCUCCUGCCAUCCAUGGAGAAAACUUAUCUGGCAUUAAGUUGUCGGGUAGGCAAUCUCCAUCUUUUACUGUGAAAAAAUUAGAGUGUUCAAAGCAGGCUUAUGCCGUUGAAUAUAUUAGCAUGGAAUAAUAAGAUAGGACUAUGGUACUAUUUUGUUGGUUUGUGCACCAUGGUAAUGAUUAAUAGGGAUAGUUGGGGGCAUUAGUACUUUGCUGUCAGAGGUGAAAUUCUCGGAUUUGCAAAAGACUAACUUAUGCGAUAGCAUUUGCCAAGGAUGUUUUCAUCG
rnacentral:rRNA from 1 species